AGUUAUUGACCCGCGUUAGUUUCUAGACGUCGGUGCCGGUGCGCGCGCACCCUCGCUCCAGCCCGGCUUAGUCGCCCACCAUGCCUGCACCGUGCGACUCGUGCAAAGACACGUGCGGUGGGGGCACGGCCGCCUGUGGUGCAAACUGCACUUGCGGCCCCAACUGCGCCUGCGGAGAUGGCAAGCCGUCUGGCGGCAAGCCAUGCUGCCAGGGUGGCGAUAAAAAAUAAAUCUUCAUAAUUACAUAAUGUUUUUUCCCAAAUGAUGCUCUAUUUUAACUACACGUAAAGUAGAAAUUAAAUAGCUGAGUAACACGUAUAAUGUAGUUGAUUUUCUAAAGAUUAUAUAUUCUAGUAUAAGGAGGAUAAUAUUGUGGUGUCAUGAAAUAAAUGUAAACUAAAUAUUUAACCUAGCGUUUAUUAUAGCUUAUUCUCUUAGGGUAGUUCUCUGCUUACUGCUAAGUAAUUAUGUAAUUUUAUCACAUUCAGUGUUUAAUCUAAGCUUUGUCUUUGAAGGGAGAGUCCCUGGUACAUGUAAUACUCAUUAACGUAAGAGACGUGGGCACGCACACACGCAUCGUAAUUUGUCUAGUGUAUCUAUCUAGUAAAGUAAGCCUGUAAC